CUUGCUGUUCUGUUUGUCCUCAACAUUCGAAUAAAAUCUGUUCUUAUCAGCCUAAUAUCUGAUACGGGUUGUAUUUGAACCCGAUAUAUUAAACUUAUUUUUGCAAGGUGGCGAAGUGCCUGAAGUCUGCUUCACCUCCGCCGCGGGUCGGCCCACUAUUGCACUAUCUUUGGAAUCGGCCCACAGUUU